GACGUAGGGCGCGAGCGUUGUCCGGAUUUAUUGGGCGUAAAGAGCUCGUAGGCGGCUUGUUGCGUCAGCUGUGAAAAACCCGCAGCUCAACUGUGGGCUUGCAGCUGAUACGGGCAGGCUUGAGUUCGGUAGGGGAGACUGGAAUUCUUGGUGUAGCAGUGAAAUGCGUAGAUAUCAAGAGGAACACCAGUGGCGAAGGCGAGUCCCCUGGACAACUUCUGACGCUGAGGCACGAAAGCUAGGGGGAGCAAACAGG
rnacentral:rRNA from 1 species